rnacentral:rRNA from 1 species
CACGUAGGGCGCGAGCGUUGUCCGGAAUUACUGGGCGUAAAGGGCUCGUAGGCGGCCAACUAAGUCAGACGUGAAAUCCCUCGGCUUAACCGGGGAACUGCGUCUGAUACUGGAUGGCUUGAAUCCGGGAGAGGGAUGCGGAAUUCCAGGUGUAGCGGUGAAAUGCGUAGAUAUCUGGAGGAACACCGGUGGCGAAGGCGACAUCCUGGACCGGUAUUGACGCUGAGUGAGCGAAAGCCAGGGGAGCAAACGGG